CGCUGCAGAGGCGCCACGCAAAGGCCACCCCUCCUCCUGAAAAGAUGGUUUCCCUGGGCCAGACGCCUCGCGGAGCGCAGCGACUCGGCGGCGCAGGCUCGGCGCUCUUCCUGCCCUGAGCGCGGCGAGGACUCGGUGGGGAUUAAUGGUGCCCUGCCUCGUUCCGCCGCCGCGGCUGAGCCUUACCUUUCGAUUUCACUUACAGGGAGGAAAUAAAUUGGAAUCGACUCAGGCAGUGCUUUUUGGAAGAAAGCCUUUCGUACUGUAAACAUGUUUCAGGCGAUCCUGUCAGCAGCACUUUAACACCCAUCUUCCGUUUAGGUUUAUGACAGGGGAAGAAGCUCAAGAUACACAGAACACAACACACACACACACACACACACAGGUCCCCGCGCCCUCGCCAGCUCCUAGCCCUUCUUUGAAGUUGCAACUGGCCGCCGCUAGCCGGGGGUGGGUGGGGGUGGGGGAGUCGUUUCCCGGGCGGUCGGCUCCACCAUACCCCAUCCCCACCCCCUCGGCCACGGUGCCCAGUUCCGCUCCUGACCGGAACUGACAGCCACUCGGCCCCCUUGUCUCCCGCGCGCCCACCGCCUUCGCUCUGGACUCUUAAGUGCUCACUGCGCGCUGUGCGUCUGGAACCCACGCUCCGGCUGGCAUGAGACAUUCGUGCAUGGGCUGGGCACCCCCUCCCUGGUUCCACUGAGCGUGCAGCUGCCUGAUCUCUUGCAGGAAGGCAGAGCAGGGAAAGGAAAAAGCCACCCGGAGAAGGGAGGUUGACAAUUGGUUGCACCCGAAUCUUCAAGCGUCCCCUCCCCAGGGACUUAGGAGGAGCUGGCUGGCCUGAGUGCCCUUCCUCCUACGGGAAAGGCAGGAGGAGAGGGAAGUCGCCGAAUCCCCGAGGGCCAUGGAGGCGCCCCGGGUGCCAGGGCCCAUCGGUAUGGGCGCACCGACGCCCCCAGUGACUCAGCCCCCAGGUCUCAGGUCUAGGAGAAGGGGUCUUCUGGCAGGCCACCGCGGCAGCCAGCGUCCUGGAGGGGCUGCCUACCCCUCCGCGCGGCGCCCCAAACCAUCCCAGUGACCCCAGCACGCGGUGUGGAUGAGAGCACAUCCCGCGGGAUCCCCAGCCGCAGUUCAACAGCCAAGUAGAAGCAAUUACAGUUGGAGCCCCGUGGGGGAAAGCGGCUGAUUUCACUUAUGGAAAAACGCUUAAACAAGAGCAAACCUAAGCCAGCGUUAGCAAACUAGCUGACCUACAAUUGGAGGUUGUGCGAGGGCGGACUGGGGCGGACGCGUCUGCCAGGGAGGGAAACCCGCUGGGGAGUGGGCAGAGGGAAGCGAAUCAAAAUGUCAGAUAAGAGAAAGAGAGGAAGAGGGGAGGAGGAGGAAGAGAGGCGCUUGAUUGCAGAGAGGGAGAAUGGGAAGGCUCGGAGACUGCACGGGCUGCCAGGUGACGCGGGUCAGACGGGAAGAGAGGCGGGCGCUUAGUGGGCAGCGGGCGCAGGACGCGCGGGCUCCGCCAGGCACCAGAUCUCCUCGCUCCCAGCCCUCCCCUCCCCGGAUCCCGCCUCUGCCCGACGUCACGUGUGGCGCAGACGGCUGCUCUGGGGAUAGGAGGGGUGGGGUGGGGCAGGGACCAAAGAACUCCGCGCCCCAGACCGCGCCGGGCGUGCUGCACACCUGGCAUCCGGGACGCGCCAUCUGCUCUGAGCUCACCGCCUCUCGGGCCAGGGGUGUGGGCUUGGAGAGAUACGACAAUCCUGCCUGGGAAGAGGAUGCAUUCGAGUCAACUGAAGCAAUGAAGCCAGUCAAUCAAUGCUUAUGGUGCUCCUACUGUGUGCCGAGCGUCCCCUCCAGCUGCUGGGCUUGGGAACUGCACCAUCUGUUCUGUUGUGUAUAUUGUGUAAUAAAUUCACAAUUCGAACGAUAAUUUAUAAGAUAAUUCGCUAUGCCAAGGAGGGUGGUUGAGGCAGUUUGAGGGUCUGGAGAGGUGUUGCGUCUGGCAGAGUAAGGUAUGAAAGGUUGGUGAUUUUCUUCUGCUUCCCGAAGUCUGAGUGACCCUUCCUUGUCCUACCCCCCCCCAGCCCCGUGCUUCCUGUCCCCCAUUCUCACAACACAGAUAGAAAUUAACAACAAUAAUUUAAAAAUAAUAAUUUAGUGGUACUUAAUCUGGGCUAGAAUGGCUGGUGAGUAACUGAAACCUAGUUCCUGAACACUCAAAACUUGACUCAUUAAUUUCAUAAAUAUGAGACUCAGAACACUGCCUUGUUGGAACAAGUAUUUUGUAAUGUAACUUUACCAUUCUGAGAGAAAAUUCGUCGACCAUAAAACUGUAUUUUUUUAAAUCAACAUAAUGCUCAAGCCAAAAUAUAAAGGAAAACUAGGCACACAGUUUAUAAUACAAUAAUAUACAUUACAAAUGUGCAAUGCCCAGGCUAUAUUUCACUAGAACAUCCCCAAAUUUCUAAAAUUCUCCCCAGGGAGUACUUCCCAGAUGUGAGUUGCAAACUAAGAGUGCCAGGCAAGAAAUGGGAAUGCUAUUGAUAUGCCAAAGUCUUAAACUCACAGUGGAUGUGAUUAUUCCGAUAAAUCUGUCUUCAGAUAUUUAUGCCUUUGUGUUCUCUCCCCCAUUGACUUUGGAUUUGGUCACGUGGAUUGCUUUAGCCAAUAUGGCAUUAGCAAACAUGACCCAAGAGGAGGCUUGAUAAGUGCCUGCACGUUUAUUGGGGUUUGUCCACUUGAAACCUUAAAGGCAUCGUGUUUUGAAGAAGCUAAUCUGUCUUACUGAAGGAUGAAAGGCCCUAUGGGGAGAACGUGAUGCCCUGCCAGCUCUAGUGUCCCAUGCAUGUGACUGAGGCUAUCUUGGACUUCAGUAGGAUUGUCAGAUGACUUCAGCCACAUGAGUGAUUCCCAGAUGAGUCCAGCAGAAGAAUCCCUAGAUUGACAACCCACAGAAUUAUGAGAACAGUAAAUUGUUGUUUUAAAUCA